CCAAUAGCGUAUAUUAAAGUUGUUGCAGUUAAAAAGCUCGUAGUUGAAUUUCGGGAUUAGUAAGUUGGUCGUGCCUCCGGUAUGUACUGGCUUUACUGGUUCCUCCUUCUUGAAGAACUGUAAUGUCAUUAAUUUGGUGUUGCAGGGAAACAGGACUGUUACUUUGAAAAAAUUAGAGUGUUUAAAGCAGGCUAACGCUUGAAUACAUUAGCAUGGAAUAAUGAAAUAGGACGUUUGAUCCUAUUUUGUUGGUUUCUAGGAUUGACGUAAUGAUUAAUAGGGAUAGUUGGGGGCAUUAGUAUUCAAUUGUCAGAGGUGAAAUUCUUGGAUUUAUUGAAGACUAACUACUGCGAAAGCAUUUGCCAAGGAUGUUUUCAUUAAUCAAGAACGAAAGUUAGGGGAUCGAAGACGAUCAGAUACCGUCGUAGUCUUAACCAUAAACUAUGCCGACUAGGGAUCGGAUGAUGUUAAUUUUUUAAUGACUCAUUCGGCGCCUUACG
rnacentral:rRNA from 1 species